rnacentral:tRNA from 1 species
GCCUUCGUGGUGUAACUGGAAGCACACUCGACUAGUAUUCGGGAGGUUCGGUGUUCGAAUCCCAGUGAGAGCA